UUUUUUUUUUAAUUUGUGGUAUCCCUUUAAGAGUCAUUUGGUACAAUUCAUAGCCUGAUUCAUGCCACCAGCUGCCUCUGAUUUCAGUGAGAAAUGCAGAAAUUUAUAGGGAACUGUAAAAUGGGGACAGGUUUUUCGUUUUCUAAAUUGAGGUUUUAACUGGCAAACUUCUGAAGGUUUAAGAAACCGCAGAGCUGAGCUGUGGGAAGCUGGCUUCAUUUCCGGUCAGAAGAAAUAAACACACAAACACAUAUCUAACUCACAAAGUGUCGCAAGAGAUAAACCAAUACUCUUUGCAGAGGAGGAAAACAAAAAAUCAGCCUCGUGGGCAACAGGAGGAAAGUCACAUUCGCCAGCGGACAGCCCCCUAUGCUGGCAGAGGGAGAAACUGAGCCUGGGCAGCGACGGGCAGGAUUUGCACAAAGUCUCCCGCUUCGAGCUGCGUGUCUCCGCAGUCCCAGGGCAGCGCCCAAACCACAUUGCCCUUCUCAAAGCCCCAGGGAUUGAUGAGAACCCCCUGCAAUAGCCACAGGACACACAGCCUUAGGAUAUGGGCUUUCAUCCUCAUGCCUGCCACCUCAUGGUCACAAAAAGGCUGCUGUAACUCCAGAUGUCAUGUCCACAUUCAAAACAGAAAAAAAGGAGAAAGAGGAAAAGGGGACUGGGAGACUUCUUUUUACGUCUCACAGACCAGAGCUAAGUCACGUGGCCACCACUAACUGCAAAGGAGACUGAGGUUCCCCAGAUGCUAAGGCCACAUGGACCAAGCAGAACCAACCACAGGACAGCAUUGGUUAGGCUAUAAGAAGCAAAUGGACAGUUGGGAUGGAUGAAGGAGCUCAUAAAGGCAAAAGUACCUAGAACACACAAAAGUCAUAAAGCAGCCCUGAUUAGGAGAGAGCAUGCUUGGAUGGAUCAGCACGGAGCCAAGUGGACAAAGGCAAACUGUGUUUUAUAACAAGAAGAGCCUGAAUCUUGCCCUAAAUUGAGAGUGAGGAAUGAGGGAGGGGAGAAAGCAAAGAUAAGUCCCAGAAUGCUGACUUCAGGGGGUGCUGGGGCCACUUACUGGGACAGGGAAGAGGGGAGGAAGGUUGCCAGGGCCCACAGGAUCACGAGCCCUGCCUGCCAGGCCAGCUGUGGUAAAGUCACCACUGAUCCAGGAUCUUGAAAGGGUUGAGGACUGACACUGAAUCUUUACGCAUCAGGAAGACAAAAAGGAUUUCCUCAUGAAGACUGACAUGAUCAGACAGUGUUUUAGAAAAUGUGUGUUUGGUGAGCAUAUGGGACAUAGAAGAUAAACCAGGAGCUAACAAUACCUAAGUAGCCAGGCCCCCCAAUUCUCCUGCCACUCCCAGGCUCAGGAAAAUGUAAUGAAAUGAAAGCAGUUUGGAAAAGAGCUGGAAAGACCUCCCAGCUAGACCCAGCCCAGAGCGCAGCUUGGCCAAAGCUCAGGCUCAUGCGGAGCACAUGGGCCUUGCAGCUGGCUGCAUUCACCGGCCAAACCACAGGGCAAAUUUAAACACUUCAGUUGUCACAACACAGCAGACCUGAAUGACAACAGCUUUCUUAAAAGCAGGACUUUUAAAGACAAAAACACUUCUUCACACACACACACAAAAAAACCCCCAAAAAACAAAACAAAACAAAAUCUCAGGAAAACUGGCUCUCUCUCAGGCAAUUAUUUUAAAACGUUGGGCCUCAAAAUAUUUUCAGCCCCAGCCCACAUGGAAGGGGCACAAAGCUGUGUGGACCUUCUUUUGUCUUCACCAUAUCUGACCGAGAAAAAGGGUGACUCUUCUGAAGACAAGCCAGUAGACCCGGAGUGUUGAGCACCUAACACAUGUAUUGUUAGCACAGUAGGAGUAUUUGGGUAAGCCAUGAUAGCUCUUUGGGCCUGAGUUGUUUUGGAUUUUGUCCCCAUAAGUGGAAAUAAUGAUAACACUUUCCUUACAUACUGUUUCGAAGACAUAGUUCUUCUUCUCCUUCUCCUCCUCCUCCUCUUCCUCCUCCUCCUCCUUCUUCUUCUUCUUCUUCUUCUUCUUCAAGAUUUAUUUAUUUAUUUGAGAGAGAGGGGAGAGAGAGAGAGUGUGUCAUGCAAGGGUCAGGGCAGAGGGAGAGAAAGAGAGAGAAUAUUCAGCAGACUCUCUGCUGAGUGUGGGGCCCCACUCGGGAUUCGAUCUCAUGACCCUGAGAUCAUGACCGGAGGCGAAAUCCAGAGUUGACGCUUAAACCAACUGAACCACCCAGGCGCCCGUCAAGGACAUAGUUAUUCUUAAAGUCCUUUCAAAUAUGAAUACCUUUGAGAAUAUAAGGAAGGCUAUUAACCUCCAGAGAAAAUUGUGUAUUCAAAUAAAAAUGUUCAUAUACCUGGGUAUUUAUAGGAUCAGUGAUAAAAAGCUCCUUGGUAAUAUCUUUUUAUUUUUUUAUUUUUUUUAAGUUUUUUUUAAAUUUAUUUGACAGAGAGAAACACAGCGAGAGAGGGAACAUAAGCAGGGCGAGUGGGAGAGGGAGAAGAAGGCUUCCCGCAGAGCAGGGAGCCGGAUGUGGGGCUCGAUCCCAGGACCCCGGGAUCAUGACCUGAGCCGAAGGCAGAUGCCUAAUGACUGAGCCACCCAGGGGCCCCUCUUUGGUAAUAUCUUUAAACCACCUGCAAAACGACUGUCCCUUUAUGGGGACACAACCUAUAGUAAUAAUUACUAGUAUCCAUGGAAAAUAGGGGUAGAAGGAUCAUGAAAGGUAUAUGUAGAAAGUGGUCUUCAAGAUGGACUAAAAAAUGAGCAGGAUUUCAACAGGCUGAAGGAAGAGCAAGAGCUACAGAAACAGCAAAAUGUGAAGUGGGAAAACCAGUGGUAGAGGGAUUCUACACAACAAGUAAGGAAAGGAUACUGACCAUUUGUUGAGCUUGCGCUAUGUGCCGGGCAUUACAUGCAUUCUCUUAUUUGAUCUUCACAAGUUAGUUAUUGUUAGCCCCAUUUUAGAGAUGAGGAAACAGAAAAUUAGGGUGGCAAAUAGUAAGGCAAUAGUAGAGGUAAGGACUUACCUUUAAAGUCUCUAUUUCCAUUCUUUAUGUGGUUCUCUUUAAUUUGGGGUAUUCAUGACAAUUUUCAUAAUAAAACACUUGUAAAGUCUCUUGCUCCUUGCAAUUUCUCUACCACAAGAUGGCUUAAUGAGAAGAGCAUUAUCACCGAAUACCAGUUAUCUGUGCAACUUUGGAUAUGUUUCUCUCUCCUUCUGAGUUUCAGUAUUGGUUCUCAUCUGCAAAAGCAGAUGAGAUUCACCUCAUCUGGAUGGGAUUCAUCUAGAAUGAUCUCCAAGCACUCUUCCAACCUUAGAAAUUAUGAUUUUUUUAGAGUCUAUGAUUUUUUAUUCAUUGUUCAAUAAAUAAUUGUCUUUCACAUGUUCAUACUCCUAUUUUCUCAGUAGCUUUUUUUUUUUUAAGAGAGAGAGAGAGGUGAGAGAGGGGUAGAGGGAGAGGGAUAGAAUCCCAAGUGGACUCUAUGCUGAGCACAGAGCCUGAAGCAGGGCUCAGUCUCACCACCCUGAGAUUAUGACCUGAGCCAGAAUCAUGAGUCAGACACUUAACCGACUGAGCCACCCAGGUGCCCCAGGUUAUUUUAUUUUUAAGACAGCUUUAUUGAGGUAUAAUUGACAUCCAAUAAACUACACAAAUUUAAUGUGUACAGUCUGAUAGGCUUUGACAUAUGUAUGCGCCUCUGAAACCAUGGAAAACAUUUCCAUCACCCCCAAAAGUUCCUUGUGUCCCUUUGUAAUCUCUCCUUGCCCCUCCACUUUGCCCCUGCUCCCUAAGGAAAAACUGAGCUGCUUUCUGUCAGUACAUAGGAGUUUGCAUUUUCCACAAUUUUAUGCAAAUGAAAUUGUACAUGAUGUACUCAUACUUGCCUGGCUUCUUUCACUCAGUGUAAUUUUGAGAUUCACCCAUAUUGCAUGUAUCAUUAGUUGAUAAGCCAUAAUUUGUUUAUCCAUUCAUUCAUUAAUGGACAUAUGGUUUGUUUCCAGGUUUUAGCUAUUAAAAAUAAAAAUGCUGUGAGCAUUCACAUACAUGUGUUUGUUUAGAAACAUGCUUUCAUUUCUCUUGGGUACAUUUCUAGGAGUGGAAUGGCUGGGUCAUAUGGAAGGUAUAAGUCUAAUGUUUUAAGACCUUGACAGUUUUCCAAAGUGAACAUUCUAAUUGUGCCACAUACUUGCCACAACUUGGUAAGGUCGGCCUUUUUAAUUUUAACCAUUUUCAUAUAUUUUUAGAGGUAUCUCACUGGGUUUUAAUUUGCAUUUCCAUAAUAAUGAUUUUGAGCAUCUUUAUUUGUUUGUUAUCUAUAUACCUAUUUACUUUGGUAAGGUGUCUGUUCAAAACUUUUGCCUGUUUUUUUCAAUCAUAUUUGUUUUCUGAUUAUUGAGUUCUUUAUAUGUACUGAGCCCAUUAUAUACAUAAGUCCAUUAUCAGAUACAUGAUUUGUAAAUAUUUUCCCCUAGUCUGUGCCUUGUCUUUUCAAUAUCUUAAUGUCUUGCUGAAAAAAGCUUUUAAUUUUGAUAAAGUAUAAUUUAUAAAUCUUUUUCCCUCUGGAUCAUGCUUUUGGUAUCAUAUCAAGGAAAUCUUUGCUUAACCUAAGUGCUGGCACACUAAAGCCCAUAUACUGGGUGGCUUAAAUAAUACACAUUUAUUUUUCAUAAUUCCAGAAGCUGGUAAGUCCAAAAUCAAGGUGGCAGCAGAUUUGGUUCCUGGUGAGGGCCCUCCUCCUGGCUUGCUAUGGCUUGUUACUACUUUCUUGCUAUGUCCUUACGUGGGGGGAAAGAGAAGGGAAGCAAGAUUUCUGGUGUCUUUUCUUAUAAGGGCACUGAUCCCAUUAUGAGGGUCCUACCCUCAUGAUCUCAUCCAAUCCUAAUUACCUCCCAAAGGCCGCCUCUCCAAGUACCAUCACAUUAAGGGUUAGGGCUUCAAUGUGAAUUUGGGGGUGGGGCACAAACAUUCAGCCCAUCAGUCACAAUGAUUUUUCCCCUGUGUUUUCUCCUAGAGUUUUUAGGUCUAUGACCCACAUUCAACUGAUUGUUAUAUGGCAUGAGACAUGGAUUGAAGUUAAAUUUUUUUUACAUUUAGAUAUCCAAUUGUUCUGGCAUGUUUUGUUAAAAGGACUAUUCUUUCUCCACUGAUUUAUCUUUGCAUCUUUGUCAGUUGUCCUGUAUGUGUGCAUCUAUUUCUGCUCUCAAUUCUGUUCCAUUCCUCUAUUUGUUGAUCUUCAUGCCAAUACCACAUUGUCUUAAUUACUGUAGCUUUAGAAAAAGACUUGAAAUCAUGUAGUAUUAACUCUCUAACCUUGUUAUUUUUCAAAGUUGUUUUAUAAAGAGCUUGUCAAUUUCUACCAGAAACCUUGCUGGGAUUUUGACUGGGAUUGUGUUGUAUCUAUAAAUGAAUUUGAGGAGAAUUGAUAUCUUAAGAAUAUUGAGUGUUCUACAGCCGCAGCAAAUUCUUCCUAGAAACAUCGCCAAAGGCAAGGGAAGCAAGGGCAAAAAUGAACUAUUGGGACUUCCUCAAGAUAAAAAGCUUUUGCACAGCAAAGGAAACAGUCAACAAAACCAAAAGACAACCGACAGAAUGGGAGAAGAUAUUUGCAAAUAACAUAUCAGAUAAAGGGCUAGUAUCCAAAAUCUAUAAAGAACUUAUCAAACUCAACACCCAAAGAACAAAGAAUCCAAUCAAGAAAUGGGCAGAAGACAUGAACAGACAUUUUUCCAAAGAAGACAUCCAAAUGGCCAACAGACACAUGAAAAAGUGCUCAACAUCACUCAGCAUCAGGGAAAUCCAAAUUAAAACCUCAAUGAGAUACCACCUCACACCAGUCAGAAUGGCUAAAAUUAACAAGUCAGGAAAUGACAGAUGUUGGUGGGGAUGCAGAGAAAGGGGAACCCUCCUACACUCUUUGUGGGAAUGCAAGUUGGUGCAACCACUCUGGAAAAAAGUAUGGAGGUUCCUCAAAAAGUUGAAAAUAGAGCUACCAUAUGACCCAGCAAUUGCACUACUGAGUAUUUACCCCAAAGAUACAAAUGUAGUGAUCCAAAGGGGUACGUGCACCCCAAUGUUUAUAGCAGCAAUGUCCACAAUAGCCAAACUGUGGAAAGAGCCAAGAUGUCCAUUGACAGGUGAAUGGAUAAAGAAGAAGUGGUAUAUAUAUACAAUGGAAUAUUAUGCAGCCAUCAAAAGGAAUGAUAUCUUGCCAUUUGCGACGAUGUGGUUGGAACUGGAGGGUAUUACGCUGAGCGAAAUAAGUCAACCAGAGAA